rnacentral:rRNA from 2 species
UUGAACGCUGGCGGCAGGCUUAACACAUGCAAGUCGAACGGUAACGGGAAGGGAGCUUGCUUUCUUUGCCGACGAGUGGCGGACGGGUGAGUAAUGCUUGGGAAUCUGGCUUAUGGAGGGGGAUAACUACGGGAAACUGUAGCUAAUACCGCGUAAUAUCUAUGGAUUAAAGGGUGGGACUUUCGGGCCACCUGCCAUAAGAUGAGCCCAAGUGGGAUUAGGUAGUUGGUUAGGUAAAGGCUGACCAAGCCGACGAUCUCUAGCUGGUCUGAGAGGAUGACCAGCCACACUGGAACUGAGACACGGUCCAGACUCCUACGGGAGGCAGCAGUGGGGAAUAUUGCACAAUGGGGGGAACCCUGAUGCAGCCAUGCCGCGUGAAUGAAGAAGGCCUUCGGGUUGUAAAGUUCUUUCGGUAGCGAGGAAGGUAUCAAAUUUAAUAGAUUUGGUAAUUGACGUUAACUACAGAAGAAGCACCGGCUAACUCCGUGCCAGCAGCCGCGGUAAUACGGAGGGUGCGAGCGUUAAUCGGAAUAACUGGGCGUAAAGGGCACGCAGGCGGUUGAUUAAGUGAGAUGUGAAAGCCCCGGGCUUAACCUGGGAAUUGCAUUUCAUACUGGUCAACUAGAGUACUUUAGGGAGGGGUAGAAUUCCACGUGUAGCGGUGAAAUGCGUAGAGAUGUGGAGGAAUACCGAAGGCGAAGGCAGCCCCUUGGGAAUGUACUGACGCUCAUGUGCGAAAGCGUGGGGAGCAAACAGGAUUAGAUACCCUGGUAGUCCACGCUGUAAACGCUGUCGAUUUGGGGAUUGGACUGUGAGUCUGGUGCCCGAAGCUAACGUGAUAAAUCGACCGCCUGGGGAGUACGGCCGCAAGGUU